ACAUAGGGUGCAAGCGUUGUCCGGAAUUAUUGGGCGUAAAGAGCUCGUAGGUCGUUUGUUACGUCGGAUGUGAAAACCUGAGGCUCAACCUCAGGCCUGCAUUCGAUACGGGCAAACUAGAGUUUGGUAGGGGAGACUGGAAUUCCUGGUGUAGCGGUGGAAUGCGCAGAUAUCAGGAGGAACACCAAUGGCGAAGGCAGGUCUCUGGGCCAUUACUGACACUGAGGAGCGAAAGCGUGGGGAGCGAACAGGAUUAGAUACCCUGGUAGUCCACGCCGUAAACGGUGGGCACUAGUUGUGGGAACCUUCCACGGUUUCUGCGACGCAGCUAACGCAUUAAGUGCCCCGCCUGGGGAGUACGAUCGCAAGAUUA
rnacentral:rRNA from 1 species